GCCCCUCAUUUGUAAUUAAAGUGAUUUGUUUUGACUGCGAAGGUGCUUGUGCUGUGCUUGUACAUUUAAUUUUUUUUUUGUUUCUUGUGCUAGUCAGUUUAUAUUAAAAUGUCGACGAGACCGCAAAAAAAAAACAGAAAAGACAAAAACCGAAAAUAAGUUGGGUUUGGCAACAUUUCGACAAAUUAAGUUCCCAUUCGGCAAAGUGCAAAUUGUGUCUCUUGGUCUAUGAAUCAUGCGGUAAUACUUCCAAUCUAACCAAACAUUUGAGUAGUGCUCAUAGCUUAACUGCACCUGAACCAAAAGCACCCGCAGAGGCAGGAGGACCUUCAACUUCAACCUCACAGCCAGCGGAGCCUGAGCCUGAGGCCGGACCAUCGCGACCACAGUCUUCUUCGGAUGGAGCUGAAAAAGCGCCGCUCAAAAGAUGCGAUCAAAGUGAUCCAGCAAGUGCACCCCAAAAAAAGGCUAGACUUUCCGACACGAGCUCCGGGAUUGAUGGAUAUUUCAGCAACUUAAAUUCAAUGAAAAAAGGAGGAUUCAAGUAUGUGAAAAUUGUAAGUGCGAUUAUGUUCUGGAUAGUGAAAGAUAUGCUGCCCUUCCGCUCUGUUGAAAAAGAAG
rnacentral:lncRNA from 1 species